CCAAGGAGUCUAACAUGUGCGCGAGUCAUUGGGACAUGAAAACCUAAAGGCGCAAUGAAAGUAAAUGUCGGUCACGCGCCGACAGAGGGAGGAUGGGCCGCGUCACGAUACGGCCCCGCACUCCCGGGGCGUCUCGUUCUCAUUGCGAGAAGAGGCGCACCCAGAGCGUACACGUUGGGACCCGAAAGAUGGUGAACUAUGCCUGGUCAGGACGAAGUCAGGGGAAACCCUGAUGGAGGUCCGUAGCGAUUCUGACGUGCAAAUCGAUCGUCGGAACUGGGUAUAGGGGCGAAAGACUAAUCGAACCAUCUAGUAGCUGGUUCCCUCCGAAGUUUCCCUCAGGAUAGCUGGCACUCGCGUUCAAAACUUACACGAGUCUCAUUCGGUAAAGCGAAUGAUUAGAGGCCUUGGGGCCGAAACGACCUCAACCUAUUCUCAAACUUUAAAUGGGUGAGAUCUCUGGCUUGCUUGAAUCGUGAAGCCACGAGAUUUCGGAUCAGAGUGCCAAGUGGGCCACUUUU
rnacentral:rRNA from 1 species